AGAGCGAACGCUGGCGGCAGGCCUAACACAUGCAAGUCGAGCGGCCGUAGCAAUACGGCAGCGGCAGACGGGAGAGUAACACGUGGGAACGCGCCCUUCGGUUCGGAAUAACUCAGGGAAACUUGGGCUAAUACCGGAUACGCCCUUACGGGGAAAGAUUUAUUGCCGAAGGAACGGCCCGCGUCCGAUUAGCUUGUUGGUGAGGUAACGGCUCACCAAGGCGACGAUCGGUAGCUGGUCUGAGAGGAUGACCAGCCUCACUGGGACUGAGACACGGCCCAGACUCCUACGGGAGGCAGCAGUGGGGAAUAUUGGACAAUGGGCGCAAGCCUGAUCCAGCCAUGCCGCGUGGGUGAUGAAGGCCCUAGGGUUGUAAAGCCCUUUCGGCGGGAAGAUAAUGACGGUACCCGCAGAAGAAGCCCGGCUAACUUCGCGCCAGCAGCCGC
rnacentral:rRNA from 1 species